AGUGAACGCUGGCGGCAGGCCUAACACAUGCAAGUCGAGCGGCAGCGCGGGGGCAACCCUGGCGGCGAGCGGCGGACGGGUGAGGAAUACGUCGGAAUCUGCCUUUUUGUGGGGGAUAACGUAGGGAAACUUACGCUAAUACCGCAUACGUCCUACGGGAGAAAGUGGGGGACCGCAAGGCCUCACGCAGAAAGAUGAGCCGACGACCGAUUAGCUAGUUGGUGGGGUAAAGGCCCACCAAGGCGACGAUCGGUAGCUGGUCUGAGAGGAUGAUCAGCCACACUGGGACUGAGACACGGCCCAGACUCCUACGGGAGGCAGCAGUGGGGAAUAUUGGACAAUGGGCGCAAGCCUGAUCCAGCCAUGCCGCGUGUGUGAAGAAGGCCUUCGGGUUGUAAAGCACUUUUGUCCGGAAAGAAAUCCCUGGAGCUAAUACCUUCGGGGGAUGACGGUACCGGAAGAAUAAGCACCGGCUAACUUCGUG
rnacentral:rRNA from 1 species